rnacentral:rRNA from 1 species
AGAGUUUGAUCCUGGCUCAGGACGAACGCUGGCGGCGUGCUUAACACAUGCAAGUCGAACGGAAAGGCCUCUUCGGAGGUACUCGAGUGGCGAACGGGUGAGUAACACGUGGGCAAUCUGCCUGCACUUCGGGAUAAGCCUGGGAAACUGGGUCUAAUACCGGAUAGGACCUCAAGACGCAUGUCUUCUGGUGGAAAGCU